rnacentral:lncRNA from 1 species
UGAAAAAUCAUGAGCUUGUCGAGUUACUGGACAUUGCAGAUUUGAUCAAAGGUAGACUUUAUGUAUUUUGCUUGUUUCUUCAUGCUAGAUAGCUUAUGUUAUCAUUUAUUUCCUACUGUGUCAUGGUUUUAGAUGUAAAUAAAUGAUUUCACUUCUGGACUCUAACUUCACUGUCUUUGUUUCACCAGGUCACAGGAGAAGGAGAUGAUUAAUAUUUGAUUGCUACUGCUGAACAGCCAUUAUGUACUUACCAUCUUGGUGAUCGACUUUAUCCAUCUGAUGUACCCAAGAGGUUUGUAUAUACAAUAUAUUAGUUAUUUCAGAAUUCAAAAUAAAAAACACCAUGUUUAUGAAAUAUUUAUUAUGUCACAAACUCAUAAUGCAGGUAUGCUGGAACGACGACAUGUUUCCGAAAAGAAGCUGGUUCUCAUGGACGGAACACACUAGGUAUUUUCCAGGUUCAUCAGUUAUGUAUAAAAUGUAUGUUAAUUAUGUUUAUGUAUAAAUAUAUAUUUUUUAGAUUGAUAUAGUGUGUGGAAGAUCC